rnacentral:rRNA from 1 species
UACGAAGGGGGCUAGCGUUGCUCGGAAUCACUGGGCGUAAAGCGCACGUAGGCUGCUUGUUAAGUCGAGGGUGAAAUCCUGGAGCUCAACUCCAGAACUGCCUUCGAUACUGGCGAGCUCGAGUCCGGGAGAGGUGAGUGGAACUGCGAGUGUAGAGGUGAAAUUCGUAGAUAUUCGCAAGAACACCAGUGGCGAAGGCGGCUCACUGGCCCGGUACUGACGCUGAGGUGCGAAAGCGUGGGGAGCAAACAGG